rnacentral:rRNA from 1 species
CCCUAGUAACUGCGAGUGAAGCGGGAAAAGCUCAAAUUUAAAAUCUGGCGGUCUUUGGCUGUCCGAGUUGUAAUCUAGAGAAGUGUUAUCCGCGCUGGACCGUGUACAAGUCUCCUGGAAUGGAGCGUCAUAGAGGGUGAGAAUCCCGUCUUUGACACGGACUGCCAGGGCUUUGUGAUGCGCUCUCAAAGAGUCGAGUUGUUUGGGAAUGCAGCUCAAAAUGGGAGGUAAAUUCCUUCUAAAGCUAAAUAUUGGCGAGAGACCGAUAGCGAACAAGUACCGUGAGGGAAAGAUGAAAAGAACUUUGGAAAGAGAGUUAAACAGUACGUGAAAUUGCUGAAAGGGAAACGCUUGAAGUCAGUCGCGUUGGCCGGGAUUCAACCUUGCUUUUGCUGGGCGUACUUCCCGGUUAAUGGGUCAGCAUCAAUUUUGACCGUUGGAUAAAGGUUAGGGGAAUGUGGCAUCUUCGGAUGUGUUAUAGCCCUUGGUCGCAUACAACGGUUGGGAUUGAGGAACUCAGCACGCCGCAAGGCCGGGUAUUUAUACCACGUUCGUGCUUAGGAUGCUGGCAUAAUGGCUUUAAUCGACCCGUCUUGAAACACGGACCAAGGAGUCUAACAUGCCUGCGAGUGUUUGGGUGGAAAACCCGAGCGCGUAAUGAAAGUGAAAGUUGAGAUCCCUGUCGUGGGGAGCAUCGACGCCCGGACCAGACCUUUUGUGACGGCUCCGCGGUAGAGCAUGUAUGUUGGGACCCGAAAGAUGGUGAACUAUGCCUGAAUAGGGUGAAGCCAGAGGAAACUCUGGUGGAGGCUCGUAGCGAUUCUGACGUGCAAAUCGAUCGUCAAAUUUGGGUAUAGGGGCGAAAGACUAAUCGAACCAUCUAGUAGCUGG